rnacentral:rRNA from 1 species
GACAGAGGUGCCGAGCGUUAGGCGGAAUCACUGGGCUUAAAGCGUGUGUAGGCGGAGGCCUAAGUACCUUGUGAAAUCCCACGGCUCAACCGUGGAACUGCUUGGUAUACUGGGUCUCUUGAGCCACCUAGGGGCAAGUGGAACAAACGGUGGAGCGGUGAAAUGCGUAGAUAUCAGGAGGAACACCUGUGGCGAAAGCGGCUCACUGGACCAUAACUGACACUGAUGCACGAAAGCUAGGGGAGCAAACAGG